rnacentral:rRNA from 1 species
AGAGUUUGAUCCUGGCUCAGGACGAACGCUGGCGGCGUGCUUAACACACGCAAGUCGAACGAUGAUGCCCAGCUUGCUGGGUGGAUUAGUGGCGAACGGGUGAGUAACACGUGAGUAACCUGCCCCUGACUCUGGGAUAAGCGUUGGAAACGACGUCUAAUACUGGAUAUGACUGCCGGCCGCAUGGUCUGGUGGUGGAAAGAUUUUUUGGUUGGGGAUGGACUCGCGGCCUAUCAGCUUGUUGGUGAGGUAAUGGCUCACCAAGGCGACGACGGGUAGCCGGCCUGAGAGGGUGACCGGCCACACUGGGACUGAGACACGGCCCAGACUCCUACGGGAGGCAGCAGUGGGGAAUAUUGCACAAUGGGCGAAAGCCUGAUGCAGCAACGCCGCGUGAGGGAUGACGGCCUUCGGGUUGUAAACCUCUUUUAGUAGGGAAGAAGCGAAAGUGACGGUACCUGCAGAAAAAGCACCGGCUAACUACGUGCCAGCAGCCGCGGUAAUACGUAGGGUGCAAGCGUUGUCCGGAAUUAUUGGGCGUAAAGAGCUCGUAGGCGGUUUGUCGCGUCUGCUGUGAAAUCCCGAGGCUCAACCUCGGGCUUGCAGUGGGUACGGGCAGACUAGAGUGCGGUAGGGGAGAUUGGAAUUCCUGGUGUAGCGGUGGAAUGCGCAGAUAUCAGGAGGAACACCGAUGGCGAAGCAGAUCUCUGGGCCGUAACUGACGCUGAGGAGCGAAAGCAUGGGGAGCGAACAGGAUUAGAUACCCUGGUAGCCCAUGCCGUAAACGUUGGGCGCUAGAUGUAGGGACCUUUCCACGGUUUCUGUGUCGUAGCUAACGCAUUAAGCGCCCCGCCUGGGGGAGUACGGCCGCAAGGCUAAAACUCAAAGGAAUUGACGGGGGCCCGCACAAGCGGCGGGAGCAUGCGGAUUAAUUCGAUGCAACGCGAAGAACCUUACCAAGGCUUGACAUACACCGGAAACGGCCAGAGAUGGUCGCCCCCUUGUGGUCGGUGUACAGGUGGUGCAUGGUUGUCGUCAGCUCGUGUCGUGAGAUGUUGGGUUAAGUCCCGCAACGAGCGCAACCCUCGUUCUAUGUUGCCAGCGCGUUAUGGCGGGGACUCAUAGGAGACUGCCGGGGUCAACUCGGAGGAAGGUGGGGAUGACGUCAAAUCAUCAUGCCCCUUAUGUCUUGGGCUUCACGCAUGCUACAAUGGCCGGUACA